CAUGCAAGUCGAACGGAAAGGCCCUUCGGGGUACUCGAGUGGCGAACGGGUGAGUAACACGUGGGUGAUCUGCCCUGCACUUUGGGAUAAGCCUGGGAAACUGGGUCUAAUACCGGAUAGGACCACGGUCUGCAUGGAUUGUGGUGGAAAGCUUUUGCGGUGUGGGAUGGGCCCGCGGCCUAUCAGCUUGUUGGUGAGGUUACGGCUCACCAAGGCGACGACGGGUAGCCGGCCUGAGAGGGUGUCCGGCCACACUGGGACUGAGAUACGGCCCAGACUCCUACGGGAGGCAGCAGUGGGGAAUAUUGCACAAUGGGCGCAAGCCUGAUGCAGCGACGCCGCGUGAGGGAUGACGGCCUUCGGGUUGUAAACCUCUUUCGCCAGGGACGAAGCGCAAGUGACGGUACCUGGAGAAGAAGCACCGGCCAACUACGUGCCUGCAGCCGCGGUAAUACGUAGGGUGCGAGCGUUGUCCGGAAUUACUGGGCGUAAAGAGCUCGUAGGUGGUUUGUCGCGUUGUUCGUGAAAACUCACA
rnacentral:rRNA from 1 species